GGGAAAGGGCACUAGAGUUUAUGUGUCCUACCGUCAGCAGCUGGGAAGCUGUGUAGGCCCCUCUCUUCCUUCUCCAGGCCUUACAGGGGUCCUAGCCUGCUGCAAGGGGAUUGAUCUGGCAGAAGCUGGCAUGGAGAAUGAGAGCUCACAUUCCACACAGAUUUAGAACAAACUGCUUUAUGUCAAGAUGUUGGCCUCAAGAAUAAAAUAACACCUAGUGAUCUGAAGGAAAACUUUCGCCGGUCUAGUAGACCACAACUACACACGCCCAGCCGGGACCCUGCGGAGCUUGACCACCCAGAACUGGGCGACCACGCCUACCCCCUGCGCCUGCGGACAGGCCAGCUCCGAAAAGCGCCCAGAGGACCUGCAGGCCCCGCCCCACGGGGCGGGGCCUAGAGGCUCAUCGCGCCUGCGCGGAGGCCCGAGCGCGGGCUGCCCGUUACUUUUGAAACGAGUGGCGGGGAACUGCUGUGGGCGUCUCUGCUGUCGCUCUCUGCCGGGGGAAGCGCACUCCUUCGUCUGUAGGACUGGCCAUGGCGCUGCAGCUCUCCCGGGAGCAAGGCAUCACCCUGCGCGGGAGCGCCGAAAUCGUGGCCGAGUUCUUCUCAUUUGGCAUCAACAGCAUUUUAUAUCAGCGUGGCAUAUAUCCAUCUGAAACCUUUACUAGAGUGCAGAAAUAUGGACUCACCUUGCUUGUAACAACUGAUCCUGAGCUCAUAAAAUACCUAAAUGAUGUGGUGGAACAGCUGAAAGAUUGGUUAUACAAGUGUUCAGUUCAGAAACUGGUGGUUGUCAUCUCAAAUAUUGAAAGUGGUGAGGUCCUUGAAAGGUGGCGAUUUGAUAUUGAGUGUGACAAGACUGCAAAAGAUGACAGUGCACCCAGAGAAAAGUCUCAGAAAGCUAUCCAAGAUGAAAUCCGUUCAGUGAUCAGACAGAUCACAGCUACGGUGACAUUUCUGCCACUAUUUGAAGUUUCUUGUACAGGAAUGAAAACAACAUGUUCCGAUUGGGCCUGUCGAGGUCUGAAACAGAGCCCCAGAAGGGACUGAACCACACCCGGUCUUCAGGACUCUUCUCCCAGUGUCAUCAAUUGGACAGAGAAGUCAAGCCUUGAUGGGAAUUUUACACAGAGGGGUACAGGUCUGUGAUUCAUCAGUCUUCCACAAUUCACAGCGCUCACCAUAGCACAUACCCGCCCCAAUGUCUAUCACCCAGCCACGUCAUCCCUCCCACCCCCCACCACUCCAGCAACCCUCAGUUUAUUUCCUGAGAUUGAGAGUCUCUUAUGGUUUGUCUCCCUCUGGUUUCAUCUUGUUUCAUUUUUCUCUCCCUUCCCCUAUGAUCCUCUGCCUUGUUUCUCAAAUUUAGAGAGUGACCCUGAGACAUUAUUGCCUUCUUCGAAAAUUUAGAUAUUCUGGUUUCAUUUCCUUGUGUCUCGUGUCCCAUGCUUUUGGCACUUUGGUGCAAGAUUGUGGUCUAGAGAAAACGUCUACUCCCAAACUCCUCCGAGUGUGUUCUCUCCAGAACAGUGGAGUGAAACACAUUCUCCUCUGUCAGUGCAUGAGGAAUGGGGUAAUGAACGUCACCCUGCUCCCUUAGCACUAUGUUUAACUUACUAAUAUACCACAUCUUAUUUGUUCUGAUAGUAGUAAUUGUCAUCACUCUUCCAUAGACUUUUCAUUCCUACCUAGGCAGGCUGAGUUGGACCUGGCUAGGAAGUAGUUGACUAGAACCAAGAUUCUAAGAAAAUAAAAUACCACGGUCACAGUAAGAGCCAAUGAAUCAGGAUUACUCUUUGUCAGGAAGGAACAGAAGGAUACCAAAGUUUAGCAAGACUUUAAGAAGAUUCUAGAUAUCACAGAUGAAAGUAGUCAAAAGUUAGUAUUCCAAAGACUGGCGCCAUUUGAAAAGACAGAACACAAGCACAAACAAAUAAAAAAGAUUCCAAGACACUCAAAUUAAGGGCAGAAACUUUUCUGUUCUCUCUUACUCCUUCCUGUCUCAGUAGGAUCUGACCACUGGUGUAAGGAAAGAGACUGCAGCUGGGAAGGAAAUGAUGCCAAGAUCUGCAGCUGCAAAGAGUCAGGGUUGUUUUUUUUUUUUUUUAACUUUUAUAGUGUAAAAUUAAUACAUACACACAUUUUAAAAAACAAGCAGUACAGAGUGGUACCAAAUGAAAAGUAAAUUCCCUGCCUGAACCUGUUCCCCAACUCCUCAUUUCCAGCUCCCUAUUUUUAAAUAUUUUCUGUUCUGCUGGUGGUUAUCACAAUACCUCUGAAACCUAUGUUAAUACUUUCAUUUCUUGUUUUAUGAACUUGAAAUAGCAUCUAUUGAAAGAUGAGAAACUUACUUCUUUUAUCCAUCUGCUUCUACAUUUUCCAGUUACAUUGUUUUGGUUUUUCUGGUUAUUACCAUUUUAAAGAGUAUGCUUACAUCUGUAUUUUGUUACAUCAAUUUUAGACAGUAUAUCUUGAUUUUUUGCUAUAUAAAUAAAUAGGUGAAAAAAAUCUGUGACAUUAUCUCUUCCAUGUCUCUGCUGCCUUAAUAUUCAGACUUCCAUUUUUUUUAUAUUAUCAAUGUUAAUAUUAGUCAGAUUCUUUUACAGUUGUUGUCUUCCAAGUUUUGUUUAUACGUUGAUUCUACAAAUUAAAAUAGCAUUUCCAUUAUUCCAAUGAUUAAAUUACUCCUUACCGAAGGACCAAAUAGCUCUACUUACUGAGAAAGAAAGGGUAAUCUUAUGUCAUUAAAACUGAAAGAUGAAUGUUCCAAGUGUCAAAGUCAAGUGGGAUUCCUUAAACCCAAACUUCAAGACUUUCUAGUACAUUUAAUUUGGUCGAUGAUAUCUUUAAUUUCCAAAAAAUCUUUUUCUUUGUUCUUCUUUUAUAGCCACCCAUUCUUUGGCUUCUUGACUCUGAAGAUGUUAGUUGGUUUUGUUUUCUUAAUCAGUUUUUUUUUUUUUUUUCCCUGUUCUCUUACUUGUUUUCUUUAGGAUUCGACUGUUACAAUAUCUGUUCCACUUGGACUUUCUCAUUUUUGUUUUUCACUUACUCUAAAUUAUCUGGGUUUUUUUCCCCCCAUAUAUGUGAGUGAUGAAAAAGGUUGACCAGUAUUGGUAGCGUGAUUUGCCACUGCGGUAUUAGACCUCUUUCUUGAAUGAAAAGAUGGAUGGCAGGUUCUGUGUACAUAUAAGCUAGUAGUACUGUUUUAGGGUACAUUUAGAUAUUUUGUUCACCAUGUAUUUUUUGAAAAUUGACUUUUUAAAAUACUACAUUAAAAUUAAAAUAUCGUAUCUUAUUUACUUAGUUUUUUGGUGCACCUCAAAUUUUGUGUGCCUGGUUUCACUCACUGUAGUAUCUAUUUGGGCCAAGGGCCUGAAAGGUUAAAUGUAAUUUCCAGGUAUGGUCAGUAGAGGGCAGCAAAGGGUACUGGAGUGAGCACUCACAGCCAAGGCCUGGGCAUCCCUUUUUUCCCUCUAUAGAGAUAAAAAUCCAUCAGUGGUAGUAGAAAGUCCAGAGUGCCAGAAUCAGGAGAGAAAUUACUCAUAGGGAUACUGAUCCAGAAGGGGGAUCAGCUGAGGAGGCACAGUUCACAGCCUGGUAUCUAUCUUAGCGAUGUGAACCACUAGACAUCAGGAGGGGAAUCAUUUGACUUUCCCAGUCCUGACUCCUCCUACUCUCUGCCUGUCUAAAACCUCAGAUCUGGCUCCGUAAAAUAACAGGAGUCUCCUGUCCAUCUUGGGAGCUGAUGCAAACUUCCUGACUGAGAGUUAGGACAUGGUACCAGCAGUGGCUAAGUGUUCCUCAACCAGCCAUUUCAGGGAGGAGAGACUGAGUGGGAUAGGGGCACCAUAGGCAAAAACUGACAGCUGAUGAAAACAUUCACAUAUGUGUCAGUUAAAUAAUUUGGGAGCCAACCUAAAUGGGAUGUGGCUUAAAAUAUAUUUUCUUUCCUCCUCCAGAAGGAAAGCAUUGUUUAGGUGAGGAAAAACUAUAUGGCUUUGAAAUUAGACAAACUUGACUCUGCAGAUUAUUUGGUAUGUGGUUCUCAGUUACUUCACUUUAUUGAGCUUCAGUUUCUCCAUCUAUAAAAUGGAAAUGAUGAUUCUUACCUCACAAAUCUGCUGCAAGCAAAUGAGAUGUCCAUAAACUGCCUGGCAAAGAACUUGGCAAUUUGUAGUUACUCAAUUGGCAUUACUACCUGUUCUCUCUCCCUGUCUUUGGUCAUGGGGGGAAUACCCAUUAUAUUGUUGCUAUUUUUGAAUAAAAAGUCUCAUUGUCUCCUGUAAGCAUAACUAAAUUAUUUGAAGGAUUAAUCUGUUAGGUACCAUACUAACAUUUCUGCAGUAUGAUCUCAUUUAAUUCUCACAACAACCCUAUGAAGCAGAUGCUUUUAUCAUCAUUUUGAUUUUGCAGAUAAGGACAUUGAGGCUUUAGAAGUAUAACUGGUUUACCCAGUGUCAUGUAGGUAGUAAAUCAUAAGGAAGGAUUAAAACUAGGUAAUUGGAUUCCAGAGCUCAUGCUCUCGACACUACAUAAUGUUUUCCAAUAUACACAUUUAAUCAAAGAUUUAAAAUUGUAAGGGAAUAAAUCAGAGAAGAAAUUAAAAAAUACAUGGAGACAAAUGAAAAUGAAAACACCAUGGUCCAAAAACUUUGGAAUCCAACAAAAGCUGUUCUAUGAGGCAAGUUUAUAGCAAUCAAGGCCUACCUCAAGAAGCAAGAAAAAUAUUGAAGAAACAACCUAAACUUACACCUACAGAAGCUAGAAAAAGAACAAACAAAACCCAAAACCUAAAGAAGGAAGAAAAUAAUAAAGAUUAGAGCAGAAAUAAAUGAAAUAGAAACUAAAAAAAACCCAAUAGAGCAGAUCAAUGAAACCAGGAGCUGGUUCUUUGAAAAGAUCAACCAAAUUGAUAAACCUUUAGCCAGACUCAUAAAGGAGAGAGAGAGAGAGGACUCAAACAAAAUCAGAAGGGAAAGAGGAGAAAGGACAACCAACACCCCAGAAAUAUGAAGGAUUAUAAGAAUAUUAUGAAAAAUUGUAUGCAAACAAAUUGAACAACCUAGAAGAAAUGAUAAAUCCCUAGAAACAUAUAACCUCCCAAAACUGAAUCAGGAAGAAAUAGAAAACUUGAACAGACUGAUUACCAGGAAUGAAAUUGAAUCAGUAAUCAGAAAACUCCCAACAAACAAAAGUCCAGGAGCAGAUGGCUUCACAGGUGGAUUUUACCGAACAUUUAAAGAAGAGUUAGAAGGAAAGCUUCCAAAAUCACAAAUUCAUUCUGUGAGGCCAACAUUACCCUGAUACCAAAACCAGGUAAAGACACUUAAAAAAAAAAAAAGAGGACGGCUGGGUGGCUCAGUCAGUUAAGCGUCUGCCUUCAGCUCUGGUCAUGAUCCCAGAGUCCUGGGAUCGAGUCCCCCAUUGGGCUCCUGGCUCAGCGGGGAGCCUGCUUCUCCCUCUCCCACUCCCCCUGCUUGUGCGCUCUCGCUCUCUCACUCUUGCUCUAUCGCAAAUAAAUAAAACCUUUUUUAAAAAAGAGAGAACUACAGGCCAAUAUCUCUGAUGAACACAGAUGCAAAAAUCCUCAACAAAAUAAUAGCCAACCAAAUCCAACAAUACAUUAAAAAAUCAUUCACCGUGAUCAAGUGGGAUUUAUUCCUAGGAUGCAAACAUGAUUCAAUAUUCACAAAUCAAUUAACAUCAUACAUCACGUCAACAAGAGAAAGGAUAAAAAGCACAUGAUUAUUUUAAUAGAUGCAGAAAAGCAUUUGACAAAGUACAAUAUCCAUUCAUGAUAAAAACUCUCAACGAAGUAGAUUUAGAGGGAACAUAUUUCAAUAUAAUAAAGACCAUAUAAAAACCUACAGCUAAAAUCAUACUCAAUGGUGAAAAACUAAAAGCUUUUCCCCAAGAUCAAGAGCAAGACAGGGGUGUCCAUUCUCACUACUUGUAUUCAACAUAGUACUGGAAGUCCUAGCCCCGGGAAUAAGACAAGAAAAAGAAAUAAGUGGCAUCCAAAUGGGUAAGGAAGAAGUAAAACUUUCACUAUUUGCGGGUGACAUGAUACUAUAUAUACAGAAAACCCUCCAGACUCCACCAAAAAUAGACUAGAACUGAUAAAUGCGUUCAGGAAAAUCACAGGAUACAAAAUCAAUAUACAGAAAUCUGCAUUUUUAUACACUAAUAAUGAAGAAGCAGAAAGAGAAAUUAAGAAACAGUCCCAUUCACAAUUAUACCAAAAAUAAUAAACUACCUAGGAAUAAACUUAAACAAGGAAGUGAAAGACCUAUAUUCUGAAAACUAUAAAACACUGAUGAAAAAAAAUUGAAGACAACAUGAAUGGAAACAUAUUCUAUGCUUAUUGAUGGAAGAACAAAUAUUUUAAAAUGUCCCAUACCCAAAAUGAUCUACAGAUUUAAUGCAAUCCCUAUCAAAACACCAAUAGCAUUUUUCACAGAACUAGAACAAAGAAUUGUAAACUAUGUAUGGUACCACAAAAGGCCCCAAAUAGCCAAAGCAAUCUUGAGAAAGAACAAAAUUGGAGGUAUCACAAUCCCAGAUUUCAGGAUAUAUCACAAAGCUGUAAUAAUCCAAACAGUAUGGUACUGACGGAAAAGUAGACAAUAGAUCAACGGAACAGAAUAGAGAAUCCAGAAAUAAACCCAUGAUUUUAUGUACAAGCAGGGAGGCAAGAAUAUACAAUGGGAAAAAGAUAGUCUCUUCAAAAACGUGUUGGAAAACCUGGACAGGUACAUCCAAAAGAAUGAGACUGGACCACUCUCUUACACUAUACACAAAAAUAAAAUUCAAAAUGGAUUAAAGACCUAAAUGUAAGACUUGAAGCCAAAAAAGUCCUAGCAGAGAGCACAGAUAGUAAUUUCUCAGACACUGGUUGUAACAACAUCUUUCUAGAUAUGUCCCCUGAGGCAAGGGAGACAAAAGCAAAAAUAAAUUAUUGGGACUACAUCAAAAUAAAAGGCUUCUGCACAGCAAAGAAAACCACCAAUAAAACGAGAGGACAAGUUACUGAAUGGGAGAAGAUAUUUGCAAAUGAUAUAAAAGGUUAGUAUCCAAAAUAUAUAAAGAACUUAUACAACUCAACACCAAAAAACCAAAUGAUCCAAUUUAAAAAUAGGCGGAAGACAUCAACAGACAUUUCCCCAAAGAAGACACAGAUGGCCAACAGACAUGAAAAGAUGCUCAAAUCACUCAUCAUCAGGGAAAUGGAAAUGAAAACCACAAUGAGCUAUCACCUCAUACCUGUCCAAAUGGCUAAAAUCAACAACACAAGAAACAACAGGUUUUGGCAAGAUUGUGGAGAAAAAGGAACUCUUGUGCACUGCUGGUGGGAAUGCCAACUGGUGCAGCCCCCUGUGGAAAACAAUAUGGAGGUUCCUCAAAAAAUUAAAGGUAGAAUUGCUAUAUGAUCCAUAACUGAGUAUUUAGCCCCCAAAUAGAAAAACACUAAUUUCUGGGGUGUCUGGGUGGCUCAGUCGGUUAAGCAUCUAGCUCAUGGUUUCAGCUCAGGUCAUAAUCUCGGAAUCAUGGGAUCGAACCCCACAUUGGGUUCUGCGCUCAGCACAGAGUCUGCUUGAGAUUCCCUCUCCCUCUUCCUCUGCCCCUGCCCCCACCUGUCUGCUCACCCUCUCUCAUUCUUAAAUAAAUAAAUAAAUAAAUAAAUAAAUAAAUAAAUAAAUAAAUAAAUAAAAUCUUUAAAAAAAGAAAAACACUAAUUUAAAAAGAUAUAUGCACCCCUAUGUUUGUUGCAACAUUAUUUACAGUAGCCAAAUUAUGGAGCAAGCCCAAGUGUCCACUGAUAGAUGAAUGGAUGAAGAAGAUGUGAUAUAUAUAUAUAUAUAUAUAUACACACACACACAAUGGAAUAUUAUUCAGCAAUAAAAAAGAUGAAGUCUUGCCAUUUGCAACAACAUGGAUGGAUUUAGAGGGUAUAAUGCUAAGUGAAAUAAGUCAGAGAAAGACAAAUACCAUAUGAUUUCACUUAUAUGUGGAAUUUAAGAAACAAAACAAAUAAAAAAGAGAUAAACCAAAAGACAGACUCUUAGCUAUGGAAAACAAACUGAUAGUUAUCAGAAGGAAGGUGGGUGGGGGGAUGGAUGGUAGGUGAUGGGGAUUAAGAGUACACUUAUCAUGAUGAGCACUGAGUAAUGUAUAGAAUUAUCGAAUCACUAUAUUGUACACCUGAAACUAAUAAUAACACUUAAUUAUACUGGAAUUGAAAUAAAAUAAAUAUAAAAAAAUUAAAAGAAAGAAAUUGAAUUAAGAAAAUAGUCUAGGGGCACCUGCAUGGCUCAUUCAGUUAAGCAUCUGCCUUCGGCUCAGGUCGUGAUCUCAGGGUCCUGGGAUCAAGCCCCACAUCGGGCUCCCUGCUCAUAGGGGAGUCUGCUUCUCCCCCUCCCCCCCACCCCCCUCCCUGCUCAUGCUCUCUCUCUCUCUCACUUCUCUCUCAAAUAAAUAAAAUCUUCAAAAAAAAUUUUUUUAAAUAGUCUUGUCUUUGCAACAUGCUUAAAAAUAUUGGUAUUAUGGGCAUAGGAUCACCUUAUACUAUCUCUUCUAUUUGAUAUUUAGGGUGAAAAGUUAAGUGUUCAAUGAAAUAGAUGAAAACAAACCCUAUCACUGUUAUUCUAUUUAGAGCUCAUUCAUCAAAUUAAAAUAAGUAGCAAUGGUAUUUUAGAAGAAAUUAAGCUUUAGCUAUUACUGUAAAUGUAACUAUUACAUGACUAAGGAAAGCUCCCUUUAUCUUUCUAAGAAAACUUUUCUCUCCUUGGCUUUACUACAAGGGGAAGAUAGAAUCAGAACACUACAUCUUUCUCAAUUAAUUCCUGAAGAUUAGUAACUCACAAUCCUGGUUACAUACAAGAAUCACUCAAAAAUUUUUUCAAAAUACAGGUUUUCUGGAUCUGAUGAAUCAGAACCUCUGGGGGUUAGAGAGGGAGUGCCUGAAAACUCCCCCAAGUGAGACUGAUGCAUAUUAGUAUUGAUAAGCAGAUACUAGAUUCUAGAAGGAGAGUUUUCCUGGUCUCUAAAUCUCUAACCUCUCUGAAGGGAAAGGCAGAGAAAUGGGACAUAAUCUGGGAAUUGGGGAAGGUGCAGAGAUAAGUUUGCCUACAUUUUUACAUUAAAUAACUGUUGACAGAUGCUUGAUGGGAGGCCAGAAAGUGUUGCCCCAUGAGCCUCCAUGGUUCUAAUACAAUCAAACAUGUCCAGACUAGCACUUGUCCCUUUAAAAGUGGUGAGAAGGGGCAUCUGGGUGGCUCAGUCGGUUAAGCUUCUGACUCUUGAUCUCGGCUCAGGUCGUGAUCUUGGUUCAGGUCAUGAUCUCAGGGCUGUGAGAUCGAGCCCCAGGUCAGGCUCCACUCUCAGCACUGUUUGUGCUUGUCCCUCUCCCUCUGCUACCCCCCACCCAAAUAAAUAAAUAAAAUCUUAAAAAAAAUAAAAGUGGUGAAAAGUCUGAAGGCCACUAUCUACAUGUCACUUCUGUGCUAGUUUGGUUUUAAGAUGAGAGGCCUCAGUAAAGUCUAAAAGGUCUACCAGGACUUGUGCUCUUGCCUCUACCUACUUUUUCAGGCAUAUUUCAUGCUCCUGUACCUUCUGCCUGUAUCUCCAAACUAGCAAACUCUUCCAUGUCUCUGAAACGUCACAUAUUCGCAUUCUGUC